AGCACUGCAAAAGAAGGUGGAGAAGAUGGAGGAGGAGAAAGAAAAAGAUACAAAAGACAGAAGAGAGCAUCAGUUUGGAUAACUGUGGACUCUAGAUUUUCGUUCCUGAUAAGGCCUCACUACGUUGCUCAGGUUGGACUCUCUAUGGAGAUCUUCCUGUCUCAGCUUCCUGAGCGGUUUGGACUACAGUGUACAUACCAUCCAUGUGGUGUGGGUUUGAGGAGGAGAAGUCCUCCAUCAAAAAAGACACAGGACCAGCUACAUCAUUCUCGCAAAAUGGAAGUGCAGUCUUCAGCUCAGAAGUCACCGGCAACGUUUACACAGAGACAACUGAACACAAGACCCUCCUGACGUGCUUUUGAGGCCUUCUAGCCAAAAAAGGCAGCCCUGUCAGCCAAAGGUGCUGAAAGCUUCUUAGGGGGCAAAAGAUGAGACCUUCUUGUCCUCUGCGUCCCCCACUGAGAUGAUUGCCGUUUGACACCAGUGACAAGUGUCCCAUAAUUACAGGCAUCGUGUAUGAAUAAAGACUAUAUCACA